rnacentral:rRNA from 1 species
GGUGGGGAAUAUUUGCGGCAAUGGGCGAAAGCCUGACGCAGCAACGCCGCGUGGAUGAUGAAGUUCUUCGGAAUGUAAAAUCCUUUUGCAGAGGAAGAAAAUGCUGGUUUACCGGCACUGACGGUACUCUGCGAAUAAGCCACGGCUAACUCUGUGCCAGCAGCCGCGGUAAUAAAAA